GAUACAUCAAUUUGAAUCUGGCUCUUUCGCCCUACUUAUUGUAAUUAGAAGAUGAUGCUUCUGAUGCGGCUCCUGACUUCCCGGCCUGGAAACGCCCUACAGAGAGGGAGACACUCCUGGCUGGGAUGGGGUGCCCUGKCCCGUUCCUUCCUCCUUCCACGAAUUUAGUUGAUGGUGAAUGCAAUUCUAGGUGGGUGGUAUCUUUCAUCUAAUACUAAAUACUGGCCGAAAACCAACAAGAAACAAGA
rnacentral:rRNA from 1 species